UACGAAGGGGGCUAGCGUUGCUCGGAAUUACUGGGCGUAAAGGGAGCGUAGGCGGAUAGUUUAGUCAGAGGUGAAAGCCCAGGGCUCAACCUUGGAACAGCCUUUGAUACUGGCUAUCUUGAGUACGGGAGAGGUGAGUGGAACUCCGAGUGUAGAGGUGAAAUUCGUAGAUAUCGGGAGGAACACCGGUGGCGAAGGCGGCGACCUGGGUAGAUACUGACGCUGAGGCGCGAAAGCGUGGGGAGCAAACAGG
rnacentral:rRNA from 1 species